rnacentral:tRNA from 1 species
AGCAGUGUGGCUUAGAGGAAAGAGCACGGGCCUGGGAGUCAGAGUACCCGGGUUCUAAUCCCGACUCUGCCC